GAUGAACGCUGGCGGCGUGCUUAAGACAUGCAAGUCGAACGGAGAACUUGUAGCAAUACGGGUUCUCAGUGGCGAAUGGGUGCGUAACACGUAGGUGACCUGCCCGGAAGUGGGGAAUAACAGGCCGAAAGGCUUGCUAAUACCGCAUGUGGCCCUGGGGUUUCGAAGCCCGGGGCGAAAGGUCGGCAACGAUCGCUUCCGGAGGGGCCUGCGGCCCAUCAGCUAGUUGGUAGGGUAAUGGCCUACCAAGGCGACGACGGGUAGGGGACCUGAGAGGGUGGCCCCCCACAUUGGCACUGACACACGGGCCAAACUCCUACGGGAGGCAGCAGUCGGGAAUAUUGCCCAAUGGACGAAAGUCUGAGGCAGCAACGCCGCGUGCGCGAUGAAGGCCUUCGGGUCGUAAAGCGCUUUUCGGGAGGAUGAGGAAGGACAGUACUCCCGGAAUAAGUCACGGCUAACUACGUGCCAGCAGCCGCCGCCGUAA
rnacentral:rRNA from 1 species